rnacentral:rRNA from 1 species
AAAGAAACUAACAAGGAUUCCCCUAGUAACUGCGAGUGAAGCGGGAAAAGCUCAAAUUUAAAAUCUGGCAGUCUUUGGCUGUCCGAGUUGUAAUCUAGAGAAGUGUUAUCCGCGUUGGACCAUGUACAAGUCUCCUGGAAUGGAGCGUCAUAGAGGGUGAGAAUCCCGUCUUUGACAUGGACUACCAGUGCUUUGUGAUGCGCUCUCAAAGAGUCGAGUUGUUUGGGAAUGCAGCUCAAAAUGGGUGGUAAAUUCCAUCUAGAGCUAAAUAUUGGCGAGAGACCGAUAGCGAACAAGUACCGUGAGGGAAAGAUGAAAAGAACUUUGGAAAGAGAGUUAAACAGUACGUGAAAUUGCUGAAAGGGAAACGCUUGAAGUCAGACACAUUUGCUAGAAAUCAACCUUGCUUUUGCUGGGCGUAUUUUCUAGUUAAUGGGUCAGCAUCAAUUUUAAUCAUUGGAAAAAGUUCAAGGGAAUGUGGCAUCUUUGGUUGUGUUAUAGCCUUUGUUCGCAUACAAUGGUUGGGAUUGAGGAUCUCAGCACGCCGCAAGGCCGGGUUUCGACCACGUUCGUGCUUAGGAUGCUGGCAUAAU